rnacentral:rRNA from 1 species
AGUGAACGCUGGCGGUAGGCCUAACACAUGCAAGUCGAACGGCAGCACAGUAAGAGCUUGCUCUUACGGGUGGCGAGUGGCGGACGGGUGAGGAAUACAUCGGAAUCUACUUUUUCGUGGGGGAUAACGUAGGGAAACUUACGCUAAUACCGCAUACGACCUACGGGUGAAAGCAGGGGAUCUUCGGACCUUGCGCGAUUGAAUGGGCCGAUGUCGGAUUAGCUAGUUGGCGGGGUAGAGGCCCACCAAGGCGACGAUCCGUAGCUGGUCUGAGAGGAUGAGAGGCCACAUGGGGACUGAGAGACGGCCCAGACUGCUACGGGAGGCAGCAGUGGGGAAUAUUGCACAAUGGGCGGAAGCAGGAGGCAGCAACGCCGCGUGCGGGAGGACGGCCUGCGGGGGGUAAACAGCGUUCGCCUGUGACGAAGAGUGAGUGACGGUAAUGGGUAAAGAAGCACCGGCUAACUACGUG